ACGUGACUGAAACAUUCAUUUGCUUUCCUUUUCAGAUCACUGUGAAACAUGCAGAGAAGAGGCAAUUCUUUUCCAGAAGUGACCUUCUGGACAGAAUUGUGCUCUGAGUCAUAAUUUGACAUGGCAAAGCAUCUGAUACUGCCUUUGUGGAAGAGGCCAGAAGUGUGCCAAAAAAUUUCAGAAAUGUGGAAAAACAUCAUUCUCUGGACAGAAUAUUGAACAGGAUGAACAAGUGACGGUAACAAAUACAUCGAUAAGCUGGUCAUCCGUCUAGUACCUUGCAGGGAUGUUGAGCCUUUCAGGUUGUGCCCUCCUUCAGAAGAUGCUUGGUCUCAAUUCUAUUCAUAUGGCCAGAAAGGAAAAUUCAUGGAGAACUAGGGGAAAAUACGGAG
rnacentral:lncRNA from 1 species